CAGUAGCCGCGGUAAUACGUAGGGUGCGAGCGUUAAUCGGAAUUACUGGGCGUAAAGCGUGCGCAGGCGGUUAUGCAAGACAGAUGUGAAAUCCCCGGGCUCAACCUGGGAACUGCAUUUGUGACUGCAUGACUAGAGUACGGCAGAGGGGGAUGGAAUUCCGCGUGUAGCAGUGAAAUGCGUAGAUAUGCGGAGGAACACCGAUGGCGAAGGCAAUCCCCUGGACCUGUACUGACGCUCAUGCACGAAAGCGCGGGGAGCAAACAGGAUUAGAUACCCCUGUAGUCCCUGUCUCUUAUAC
rnacentral:rRNA from 1 species